UAACUGGACAGAAAGAUGAAAACUGCCGCCAAACACAGAAGAUCAGUGUAGCUUGCUGGCCAACCUAGAGUUUCUUCUUGAAAUAAUCUCAGCUGCCCAGCUCUUUCCUAUUUCAGUCUGAAAUUUUCCUGCUGUUGAAAGGAAAAACUCAUCCAGCACCUUCCCAUGUUCCAGUUCAUACUCCAAUGCUUGCAAAAUCAUCUCAACUUUGUCAAAAUCUUUCACAAGGUUGGCCUCCAAGGAAGCAUUGUUUUCAUACUCUGCCCAUAAUUCUUUGAUCUCCACAGCCCUCAUUCCUCCACCAAGAACUUCACACAUUUCAUUUAAGGCUGCUUGCUCCCGUCUGCUCUUUUCUUGUUUAGGCACACCAUCAGCUGGUGUUAUAUCUCCAACAAUAGCUUCUGCUAUAUCAUGCACAAUUGCAAUCUUUAUACACCUUUCUCGGUUCACACCAGGAAGAUCGCCAGCUAUGAGAGCCAUCAGAGCCAUGCGGUACAUAUGGUCAGCAAUUGAUUCUGGGCCCUUUAUCCCAUGGUUGAUCCAUCCCUUCCGUUUUGUGGUCUUCAACCGAUGACACAAUGUGAGGAAAUCAAUCGCAGACAUAGCGGAAGCACCUAAGGACUCAACAUGAGAAUCAGACUCCACCACGGAUCUCGUGUGGCCCAAACCAUCCGAACUAGGCAUUUGAGAGCGAACCAAAACGAUUCUCGAAGACGGAGCUUCGUUUAAGAAAGCGGGUCGUGAUGAGACCCGAUUGAAGAAGGCGAUUGGCGAGCGAGGAGAUAGAGAGCGACCCAGCUGAGGCGCACACUGAAUUGAUGGAUUAACCGCCAUUGUUGGUUGAUGCUGUUGUGGAGAUCUAAACAGGAAGACAGAAAAGAAAAAAGAGCUGGAUUGAGAAAGAGAGAGUCGUUU
rnacentral:misc_RNA from 1 species